rnacentral:lncRNA from 1 species
AACUUUAUAGAUAAUGUGACGACUUAUUUAGAUACUUGACGCACGUAAACAAUAUGAUAGUACAACUUACUUUUCCAGCAAUUUAUGUUCAUAAUUUGUUGAGAGGUUUAUGCAAAAGUCGCUACACACCUAAUACAUAAAUAGCUACUACAUAUUUAAUAUAAGUUGUCAAUAAAUAAAAAAUAUUUAAAAAAUAUGGACAUGGACAUCAUAUCAUCAUAAGAAACAUAGUGGUACAAACGGAAAAUAAAAUAGACACUCCAUUUAAAAAUUAUCAUAUUUUUUAGAGAUGAAAAAAAGAACACGAUUCACUACAACCUACCUCCCUC